UCGGAUGGCAGAGUUGAGAGACGAAGAGCUCAGUUAUGAUCAGUCCGAAGAGCAAGGGCAUCGGAGUGGGAAGGAACCUGCUCAUUCAGGGCGAGAAUCUCGGGGCCGAACCAGGGAAAGAAGAAGAUCCCGAAGCCCUACUCCUCAGAGAUCAAAGAGGACAUAUCACCCUGCCGAUUCUAGGGGACAGGGACGAAGCGAACGAAGAGGUCGAUCCAGAGAUCGCACUCCUGAGCAUACAAAGAAAGCACUUGUUGUUGCCCAUUCUCACCAUAGCGCCCGAGUUUAGAGGCGAAGUAUAUCAAGAGGUCAUACUCCCGAGAGUCUACUGAGGGUACACCGCCCUGUAGAC
rnacentral:lncRNA from 1 species